GAAAUGCGAUAAGUAAUGUGAAUUGCAGAAUUCAGUGAAUCAUCGAAUCUUUGAACGCACCUUGCGCUCCUUGGUAUUCCUUGGAGCAUGCCUGUUUGAGUAUCAUGAAAUCUUCAAAGUAAAUCUUUUUUAACUCAAUUGGUUUCUACUUUGGUAUUGGAGGUCUUUGCAGCUUCACACCUGCUCCUCUUUGUUCAUUAGCUGGAUCUCAGUGUUAUGCUUGGUUCCACUCGGCGUGAUAAGUUAUCUAUCGCUGAGGACACUGUAAAAGGUGGCCAAGGUAAAUGCAGAUGAACCGCUUCUAAUAGUCCAUUGACUUGGACAAUACUUUUAUGAUCUGAUCUCAAAUCAGGUAGGACUACCCGCUGAACUUAAGC
rnacentral:misc_RNA from 1 species